GGAUUAGAUACCCUGGUAGUCCACGCCGUAAACGAUGUCAACUAGUUGUCUGUGCACUUGAUGCGUGGGUGACGUAGCUAACGCGCUAAGUUGACCGCCUGGGGAGUACGGCCGCAAGGUUAAAACUCAAAUGAAUUGACGGGGGCCCGCACAAGCGGUGGAGCAUGUGGUUUAAUUCGAUGCAACGCGAAGAACCUUACCAUCCCUUGACAUCCAGAGAAUUUUCUAGAGAUAGAUUAGUGCCUUCGGGAACUCUGAGACAGGUGCUGCAUGGCUGUCGUCAGCUCGUGCCG
rnacentral:rRNA from 1 species